rnacentral:rRNA from 1 species
UAAUUGGAGAGUUUGAUCCUGGCUCAGAGCGAACGCUAGCGGCGCGCCUAACACAUGCAAGUCGUGCGAGAAAGUCCCCUUCGGGGGGCAAGUAAAGCGGCGCACGGGUGAGUAACACGUGGAUAAUCUACCUUUAAGUCCGGGAUAACCCGCCGAAAGGCGGGCUAAUACCGGAUAAGACCACGGGACACAUGUUCCGCGGUUAAAGGCGGGGACCUUCGGGCCUGCCGCUUUAAGAUGAGUCCGCGUCCCAUCAGCUUGUUGGUGAGGUAACGGCUUACCAAGGCUAAGACGGGUAGCUGGUCUGAGAGGACGAUCAGCCACACUGGCACUGGAACACGGGCCAGACUCCUACGGGAGGCAGCAGUGGGGAAUUUUGCGCAAUGGGCGAAAGCCUGACGCAGCGACGCCGCGUGAGGGAAGAAGGUUCUCGGAUCGUAAACCUCUGUCGGGGGGGAAGAAACCCAGGACGGCCAAUACCCGUUCUGAUUGACGGUACCCCCUAAGGAAGCAUCGGCUAACUACGUGCCAGCAGCCGCGGUAAUACGUAGGAUGCAAGCGUUGCUCGGAAUUAUUGGGUGUAAAGGGCGCGUAGGUGGCCUGAUAAGUCAUGGGUGAAAUCCCUCGGCUCAACCGAGGAACUGGCGAUGAUACUGUCGGGCUUGAGUAUGGGAGAGGGAAGUGGAAUUCCUGGUGUAGCGGUGAAAUGCGUAGAUAUCAGGAGGAACACCGGCGGCGAAGGCGGCUUCCUGGACCAAUACUGACACUGAGGCGCGAAAGCGUGGGUAGCAAACAGGAUUAGAUACCCUGGUAGUCCACGCCCUAAACGAUGAACACUAGGUGUCGGGGGAGUUAAAUCCUCCGGU